CCUAGGGUGGCUGCAGUAAGGAAUAUUGCGCAAUGGAGGCAACUCUGACGCAGCCAUGCCGCGUGCAGGAAGAAGGCCUUAUGGGUCGUAAACUGCUUUUAUUUAGGAAUAAACCCCCGAACGUGUUCGGGGCUGAAGGUACUAAACGAAUAAGCACCGGCUAACUCCGUGCCAGCAGCCGCGGUAAUACGGAGGGUGCAAGCGUUAUCCGGAUUUAUUGGGUUUAAAGGGUGCGCAGGCGGGCUAUUAAGUCAGUGGUGAAAUCCCGGGGCUCAACUCCGGAACUGCCAUUGAUACUGAUAGUCUUGAGUUUGGUUGAAGUGGGCGGAAUGUAGCAUGUAGCGGUGAAAUGCAUAGAUAUGCUACAGAACACCAAUCGCGAAGGCAGCUCACUAAGCCAAAACUGACGCUCAUGCACGAAAGCGUGGGGAUCAAACAGGAUUAGAUACCCUAGUAGUC
rnacentral:rRNA from 1 species